rnacentral:rRNA from 1 species
AGUGAACGCUGGCGGUAGGCCUAACACAUGCAAGUCGAACGGCAGCACAGUAAGAGCUUGCUCUUACGGGUGGCGAGUGGCGGACGGGUGAGGAAUACAUCGGAAUCUACUUUUUCGUGGGGGAUAACGUAGGGAAACUUACGCUAAUACCGCAUACGACCUACGGGUGAAAGCAGGGGAUCUUCGGACCUUGCGCGAUUGAAUGAGCCGAUGUCGGAUUAGCUAGUUGGCGGGGUAAAGGCCCACCAAGGCGACGAUCCGUAGCUGGUCUGAGAGGAUGAUCAGCAAAACUGGAACUGAGACACGGGCCAGACUCCUACGGGAGGCAGCAGUGGGGAAUAUUGGACAAUGGGCGCAAGCCUGAUCCAGCCAUACCGCGUGGGUGAAGAAGGCCUUCGGGUUGUAAAGCCCUUUUGUUGGGAAAGAAAAGCAGCAGGUUAAUACCCCGCUGUUCUGACGGUACCCAAAGAAUAAGCACCGGCUAACUUCGUG